rnacentral:lncRNA from 1 species
CUUUGCUAAGGGCAGAUGAUUCAGCACGGUAUCCUUCGAUGAGUACUGUCAUCUCAAAUCCUUUUUAAGAAGAAAAGUGCAACCCACUGGAGAAAGAGAGGGACUCCGAGGAAGGAGAGAGAGAAGAGCAUCAAGCACAAAUGAUGAUCUCCUAGGACAGUGGCAGCUUCUGAGAAUGCACAGGAAAGUGACCAGGGAAAGAAUGAUUCCAUCUCCAGGAAUCCCUGGUGAUCUUCAGAGCCCAGACAGGACCCUGCUGGGCCAUGGUAACUGAGAAACUGAGAAGCAGAUACAGUGGUCCCUAUGUUGGCAACCUCAGCUGAAGAGGAACAACUCUCUCUAUAAUCAAGGACUUCUGAAACCAGAAAUCACCAGCGUGGGGAGAGAACAUUAAAGGCAGAGGUGUCUCUUAUAAGCACAACGUGUGACCAGAACUUGGAUUACUGUCAGCUUCUAGUGUCUCCAUCAUUCAUAAUUGCACUGUG